AGGAAGGUAUGGUUCCAGCUUUAUCAGUGAUGACAAAAUAUGUUAUCAGUUUAUCAUUAUCUAAACCGUUUUUGUGAGAAAGGGGGCAGUGUACUUUUGUUUUAUCGUCAAACUCAUACUGUCUGAAUGUUUUAUUGUUGAGAGCUUCUGAUCAAUGAGAAACAAUGUACUGCUGUCAGACUGACUCAGCCUGUCUGAAUGUCAGAUUGUUGAGAACUGUUGUACUGUCGUUAAGCUAACUCACCCUUUCAGAUUGUUCUCAUGUGUAGACAAGUGUCUAAUGUCCCGCUCUCAAUUUGUUUUCAUUUAAGAUCCAAGGUCACAUCUCGUUAGCUGAGACAUCUUAUGUUAAGAUAUGAUAGUGUCCAUGCCAUAUAUGUUUUGAAAAGCUAUUUCAAGUUAGAUAUGUAUUUUAAACCUUUUUCAAGUUAGAUAUGUAUUGUAUAAAUAUUUAUUGUUGGAUAUGUUUGUAUAGUUGUUGUUUGUUAGAAAUUUACAAUGUUAUGUUUUCAGCACUGGUCCAUCCAAAUAUAAUGAUUGCAUGUUGCUGCACCUUAUUGAAUGUGAUAUAAUGGAAUUGUUUAAUGUUUCUCUAAGAUCAAUACUCUGCAGCUGGGUUACUGCUUCAUGCAUCUGCUUGCUGUGAAUCUAUACAUAUCACAUGUCCCCAUCAGGGGCUGAACCAUAGCAUGUCCUCCAUGUUAUUUGGCGAGACCAUCAGGUCAUGAGAUGACUCAACUCGAUUAUGUAGGGAGACCGUCAGGUCAUGAGAUGACUGAACUCGAUUAUAUAGGGAGACCAUCAGGUCAAGAGAUGAUGCAACUUGAUUAUAUAGGGAGACCAUCAGGUCAUGAGAUGACUCAAGAUGAGAGUCGCUAUAUGGCUGAAAUAAUGCCAGUGUAACUCACUCACUCAAGCACUCACAAGAGGAAAGUUGUUUGUUUUUUCCUUGCCUAUGUAUAUUUGCCAACUAAACUGAGAAAUAAUUUGCCUUACUUCGCCAAAAGAGAAUAUGUACUUUAUUGCAAAGACUACUUUCAUCUUAUGUAUCAGCAUAUAACCAAGGAGUUGAUGCAAAUACCAGCCUCUAACCUUUAUUUGUACAUGUGAAACCUUGCACUAAUGCCCUCGAUUACAGCAUUAUAAUGACAGUUAUAUACAGUGGGACUACAUCAAAUGUCAAACACAGUAGUUUGUCAAUAUUAUUUAUACUUUGUCUUGUCUAUUAUUUUUCUGUGGGAUUGGGGUUGUUUUUUCUCUUCAAAGGACAAAGCAUCUACAUGAUAUGAAAGAAAUACUUCAAUUUAAUCAUGGAUUCAAAGCACUUGUUACAGUUUUGUCAGUGGGGAUGAGGGCAUGUUGAUAUGAUGUUCCUGGUUACCUAGUGAGCAACAGUCUCCAACCCUGCUGCAACAAGGCCCUGUACUGUUAAACUGACGGGUUGCCUGUAAAACAUGUCAAAAUAUUCAGCAGGCAGUUAUUAUAUAUCCAGUUAUUAUAUAUCCAGUUAUUCUACCUUUACGAUUCAGGAAUCAAAUGAUGAGAAAUUUAAGAUGCAUUUGUUUAUCACUUUCUUCCAGUAUGAAAUAGUUGAUUGUAAUUACAUGUGGUUUAAUACUGAAAUGUAAGCUUAUGACCUUUUGUCACACCAAGGGAUUAAGGUUCAAGUGCAUGGAGAGAACUUAGGCUUGACAUUGCUGGUGCUAGAUAUAUUUGAGCUAAUAAACAUACUACUCUUGACAAAA
rnacentral:lncRNA from 1 species